rnacentral:rRNA from 1 species
UGCCACCAUUAAGUUGGGCACUCUGACGGGACUGCCGAUAUUUAAAUCGGAGGAAGGUGGGGAUGACGUCAAGUCCUCAUGGCCCUUAUGUCCAGGGCUACACACGUGCUACAAUGGUCGCUACAGAGCGCAGCAAGCCCGCGAGGGGGAGCGAAUCGCAAAAAAGCGGCCUCAGUACGGAUAUGAGUCUGCAACUCGACUCAUUGAAGUUGGAAUCGCUAGUAAUCCCUGAUCAGCAGGCAGGGGUGAAUACGUUCCCGGGCCUUGUACACACCGCCCGUCACACCAUGGGAGUCGAUUGCUCCAGAAGUGGGUGAGCCAACCGCAAGGAGGCAGCCCCCCAAGGAGUGGUUGGUAACUGGGGUG